rnacentral:rRNA from 1 species
CUGGCCUUGACAUGUCCGGAAGACUGCAGAGAUGUGGUUGUGCCCGAAAGGGAACCGGAACACAGGUGCUGCAUGGCUGUCGUCAGCUCGUGUCGUGAGAUGUUGGGUUAAGUCCCGCAACGAGCGCAACCCUUGUCCUUAGUUGCCAGCACUUCGGGUGGGCACUCUAAGGAGACCGCCGGUGACAAACCGGAGGAAGGUGGGGAUGACGUCAAGUCAUCAUGGCCUUUAUGGCCAGGGCUACACACGUGCUACAAUGGCCGGUACAAAGGGUUGCCAACGCGCAAGCGGGAGCCAAUCCCAUAAAGCCGGUCGUAGUCCGGAUCGGAGUCUGCAACUCGACUCCGUGAAGUCGGAAUCGCUAGUAAUCGCAGAUCAGCAUUGCUGCGGUGAAUACGUUCCC